UGCAAUGUAAUUGUUUUUUUGUUUUUUUUUCUAUUUGUAUUUCAGUUUUGACUGUUCUUUAGAGACUUGGUUAGUACCGGUGCUUUGGACUUUGACAGGGGCUUUGGACUUUGACGGAAGAAAGUUUUUGGAGUGUGGAUUUGGUGGAUGAGGAGGAGGACGCUGUUUCGGUGGACGAGGCGGCGGUGGACGCGGAAGGGGAGAAUUCGGCGGAGGAAGGGGACGAGGAGGUUAUUGACUGUUUUCAAGAUUGCUGAGAGUUGCAGAGAGACCGAGGGUGGUACACUCCAAAGAACUCUCCAAAGAACUCUCCAAAGAACUCUCCAAAGAACUCUCC